CGUUCCUGCUGCUGUCUGGGUGCUACUGGGGAAACUGGCCAUGGCCUGCAAACUGGGAACCCCUUUUCCACCCAACUCACCCUAUUCCUUCACUCACUCUCUCCUCUUUAAGUCCACUCCUGGAGAUUGUCUUGGCCCUCACCUCCAGCUCCCUUCCUAUAUAAUCUGUGGCCUGAGUCAGGGCCAUGUGCCCCAGGAUGAGAUGAGGCCUUUGUAUCUCCUCACAUUUGUUUCCUAGGGUCUCUUUUGGGGUCUGGGCUGCUUGACACCUCGUGACACCUCUGCCCUGCUGCAGGCAUUCUAGACCUUUCGGGGGUGGGUUGGGGCAGGAGUGGAGGUGAAGGAAUAUAAGUGAGUGUGGGUUCACGGGCGGCAUCGCCUACCUGAGCUAUCUCCAGCCCCCACACCUAUUUUCCCAUCUGCCAACAUUCAAGAAAUGGACACUGUGGGAGAGGCUACCAUGCAUCCAUACAUAAAUCCUUGGUGAUUUUUUGGGAACACUUUCCCCUUACCCCAGGGUUCAAGGAAUUGUAGAUUAACAUGGAGACUUUGGAUUUUCCAAGUUAUUUGGGCCAGGACCUGAAGAGAGCUGAGAGUCGAAGGAUCAACUGAUUGGCAUUGAGGAAAUGUCUCUGUAGAUCUCAGGGCAGAGAUGAUAACCUGGGGAGACGCUGCUGCCUUUGUCCCAUUCAUUCCCUGUUCUCAAGGCCGGCCUGUAGUCAGAUAUGUCACCCAGACAUAAAGGAAAAGACACAUUUUUUAAGGAAAUGUUUUUAAUAAAAGAAAAUUACCCAAAAAAAAAACCCACAAAAAAAAAAAAAAGAAAAAAGUUAACCUGCCCCUUCGUGUGCUCCCUUUUCUGCUCCUUUCUCCCCACUACUGACCCAUUUGUGAGGUGUACCAGGGGGUUGGCUCUCUUCUUUGGAGCUGGGGCUUUGAUGUUCCCCAGACUUGGUCUCUGGUGUGUCACACACCCCAUUCGUAGUCCACUGAGAAUACAGGGAAACGUGUCCUCCAGCCUUCUAGUGGUGUCUUCUGCCCCUCUUCCUUCUCUUGUCUUUUACUCCCAUCCCUCCUCUGGGCUCUGAAGAAAAAUUGCUGACUGUAGCUUUGGAAGUGUAGCUCUGAGAACAAUAGACAAUUUGAGUUCUAGGAAAAUAAAGCCGUUGAUUACUAUCCUGA
rnacentral:lncRNA from 1 species